rnacentral:rRNA from 1 species
CCCCCCAAAAACCAAAGUGUGAUAGGGGUUACCCCAAGUGGUCAAUUUGAACUGGGGUAGGGGAGUAAUGUCCCCCACUUUAAAGGAGAGGGGAAGGGUGGUGCCAGCCGCCCCGGUAAAACCAGCUCUUCAAGUGGUCGGGAUAAUUAUUGGGCUUAAAGUGUCCGUAGCCGGUUUAGUAAGUUCCUGGUAAAAUCGGGUAGCUUAACUAUCUGCAUGCUAGGAAUACUGCUAUACUAGAGGGCGGGAGAGGUCUGAGGUACUACAGGGGUAGGGGUGAAAUCUUAUAAUCCUUGUAGGACCACCAGUGGCGAAGGCGUCAGACUGGAACGCGCCUGACGGUGAGGGACGAAAGCCAGGGGAGCGAACCGGAUUAGAUACCCGGGUAGUCCUGGCCGUAAACGAUGCAUACUAGGUGAUGGUACGGCCAUGAGCCGUAUCAGUGCCGUAGGGAAACCGUUAAGUGUGCCGCCUGGGAAGUACGGUCGCAAGGCUAAAACUUAAAGGAAUUGGCGGGGGG